GUUAAACGUUUUCUUUUAUAAGUUGCUUUGGUCAUGGUGUUUUGCAUUGGCAAUAGAAAAGUAACCAAGACAAGCAUACACAGUAACAGAUUCAUUAUGGCAUUUACACACACACACACACACACACACACACACACACACACACAUACACACAUAUACACACACCAUUCUCAUUUGUUUUUUCUUCCGAUUGCUGUCCCAGGACCCACUGCCACCUCUGGCUUACUCUCCAACUUUCCCAAGAUGCUCUUGAAACUUCUGCUUUCUUAUUAUGUACUCCAUUAUACUCCCUUUUGCCACACUUAAAAGUUCUUUCUCUCCCAUGACCUCCUCUCUCAUUUCAUGACCUCAGAUAAGUAAAUAGACACACAUGCAAUUUUAAAAUAUAGUUCUUUAUUUUUGAGAAAAACAGAAUGCCCUUGUGAUUCUGAUUCUGGCUUAUUUUUGCUUAACACAAGCUUCCCCUUUUCUAUAUGCCAAAAAUAAACUUGCUGAGAAAGAAAUUGGUGUGUUGGGGGGAAUCCCAUUCACAAGAGCAAAAGUAAUACCUUAGAAUAAAUCUAACCAAGGAGGCAAAAGACAUGCACAAUGGAAACUUUAAGAUGCUGAAGGAAGAAUUAAAGAAAACACUAGAAGAUUGAAAGCCUUCCCAAGCUUAUGAAUUGGCAGGAUUAAUGUGGAAAAAUAGCUAUAGUACCAAACAAUAUCUGACUACAUAAUUUUGUGCUUGUCUUGAAUGUCCUUGUGUUCCCAGUAAAUUCAACAGAUAACCCCGCUGAAUGUAACUAUCUUGGUUCAUAGCUAUUUCCUUUUGUUUUAUUUCAGCAACUGAGAUAUGCUUUCCUGGUUUUUAGGUUAAUAACCGGUGAGCUGAUGCAAUCCUGAAGGUUUUACCCAUGCAGGCUCUCUGUUUGGGCUAGAUUGGCCUCUGGUCCACUAUCACACUUGGGAAGAGGUGAACACUUUUAUUCUUCUGCACUUCUGGGCUCAUCAGAUUGAAGGAGCAAAGACUGAAGUGAAAUCGAAUUCAACCUGAAUUAUAGUGAGAAAUGAAGAUUCUAAAUGCCCAUGAUCUGCUCCUGGAGUGUUCUCUGCCUCGUAGUCAUCCAUGUUCAGCCAGUGCUCAUCCGUGUAACUGAAUCUCAUGCUUAGAUUUCUGUAUCUUCUGUAAGAUGAAUGAGAGGUAAUAGAAUGGAAUUGAGUGCUCA